AACUUCCUAGUAUUUACUGGGUUGGAGAAAAAGUUCGUUAGGGUUUUUCCAUAAGAUGUUAUGGAACUUUUUGGCCAACCCAAUAUAAUAUUUGCCCU
rnacentral:miRNA from 1 species